CCAGAACAAUCUGACACUCCAGUGUCUGCUAAUGACAUGUGUUCCCUUGCUGAAUGGCCAUCCCAUGCUCGCCGCAACCGUGCGCUACUACAGGAUGAAGCUGGUGGACAGAAGAAGAAAGGGCGAGGUGUUCUAAAAGGUUUUAAAGCAUCUAAGAAGCGUUUUGCCAAUGGAUCUGCAAAGCUAAAUAUUACAUUCUCU